ACGACACCAAGUUAGGCGGGGCCAACCGCUGAGUUUAUGCAUAUCAAUAAGCGGAGGAAAAGAAACUUACGAGGAUUUCCCUAGUAAAGGCGAGCGAACCGGGAAGAGCCCAGCUUGAGAAUCGGGCGGUCACGAAGCCCGAGUUUUAGUCUGCAGAAGCGUCCUCAAUGACGGACCAGGCCCAAGUCCACUGGAAAAGGGUACCGGAGAGGGUGAGAAUCCCGUCGUGCCCGGACCAUGCCGCACCACAAGGCGCUGUCGGCGAGUCAGAUUGUUUGAUAAUGCAGCCCUAAUCGGGCUGUAAAUUCCAUACAAGGCUCAAUACGGGUGAGAGACCGAUAGCGAACAAGUACCGCGAAGGAAAGAUGAAAAGGACUUUGAAAAGAGAGUCAAAGAGUGCUUGAAAUUGAUGGGAGGGAAGUGGAUAGGGGCCGGCGAUGCGGCCCAGCCUGAUGCGAAACGGCGAUGAGCCGGUACGCCGCUCGGCUCGGGCCACAGACCGAUGCAGGCCGCGCCGGCGGCCGAAGCCCAGGCGGAUGACCCCGCCCAAGGAGACGCCGCCAGUGCAACCGUGGACGCAACGCACAGCAGUCCCUCAGUGUGCCCACCCGUGGUACGGGUACACUCUAGGCACCGACCCACAGCCUCCCCAUCCGACUCAUCUUGAAACACGGGCAAAGGAGUCUGACAUGCGUCCUAGCCGACGGGCGCGGGAACCCAGAAGGCGCAAGGAAACUGAAGGGCGGGAUCCCCUUGAGGGGUGCAUGGCCGAUCGACCCCGAUCUUCUGUGAAGGGUUCGAGUUAGAGCACACUUGUCGGUAGCCGAAAGGUGGUGAACUAUGCCUAAGCAGGGCGAAGCCAGAGAAAACUCUGGUGGAGGCCCGUAGUGAUACUGACGUGCAAAUUGUUCAUCUGACUUGGGUAUAGGGGCGAAAGACUAAUCGAACAAUCUAGUAGUUGGUUCCCUCCGAAGUUUCCCUCAGGAUAGCUGGAGCCCAUGCGAGAGUUCUAUUGGGGAAAACCAAUGAUUAGAGGCAUCAAGGGCGCAUCACCCUAAACCUAUUCUAAAAUUUUAAAUAGGUAGGACGGCGCGGCUGCUCCGAUGAACCGCGCCACAAAAUCGAGAGCUCCAAGUGGGCCCUUUUUGGUAAGCAGAACUGGCAAUGCGGGAUGAACCGGAAGCUGGGUUACGGUGCCCGACUGCGCUAAGGAGUGUGUAACAACUGGCCAUUUUUUGGUAAGCAGAACUGGCCAUUUUUGGUAACCCAGAACCCACAAAGGGUGUUGGUCAAUUAAGACAACAGGACGGUGGUCAUGGAAAUCGAAUCCGCUAAGGAGUGUAUAACAACUCACUUGUCGAAUCAACUAGGCCCGAAAUGGAUGGCGCUGAAGCGUGCGAACUACACCCGGUCAUCGGGGCGAGCGCCAUGCCCAAUGAGUAGGAGGGCUCGGCGGCCGACGCGAAGCCCGGGGCGUGAGCCCGGGCGGAGCGUCCGCCGGUGCGAAUCUCGGUGGUAGUAGCAAAAAUUCAAAUGAGAACUUUGAAGGCCGAAGAGGGGAAACGUUCCAUGUGAACGGCACUUGCACAUGGGUUAGCCGAUCCUAAGAGACGAGGGAGGCCCGUCAGAGAGCGCGUCUGAGCACGAGCUUCGAAAGGGAAUCGGGGUAAAAUUCCUGAGCCGGGAUGUGGCGGCUGACGGGGACGUUAGGGUGUUCGGAGACACCGACGGGGGCCCCGGGGAGAGUUAUCUUUUCUGCUUAACGGCCCGCCCACCAUGGAAACGGCUCAGCCGGAGGUAGGGUCCAGCGGCCGAAAGAGCACCACACGUCACGCAGUGUCAGGUGCACCACCGGCGGCUUGUGAAAAUCUGGAGGACCGAGUGCCGCACAUGCCCGGUCGUACUCAUAAACGCAUUAGGUCUCAAAGGUGAACAGCCUUUGGCCGAUGGAACAAUGUAGGCAAGGGAACUCGGCAAAACAGAUCCGUAUCUUCGGGAGAAGGAUUGGCUCUGAGGGGUGGGCGCGGGGGCCUUCCCCGGGUGUCUAAUAGCCAACUCAGAACUAGUACAGACAAGGGGAAUCCGACUGUUUAAUUAAAACAAAGCAUUGCGAUCGUCCCAACGGAUGCUCAUGCAAUGUGAUUUCUGCCCAGUGCUCUCAAUGUCAAAGUGAAGAAAUUCAACCAAGCGCGGGUAAACGGCGAGAGUAACUAUGACUCUCUUAAGGCAGCCAAAUGCCUCGUCAUCUAAUUAGUGACGCACAUGAAUGGAUUAACGAGAUUCCCACUAUCCCUUCUACUAUCCAGUGAAACCGAAGCCAAGGGAGCGGGCUUGGCCGAAUCAGCGGGGGAAAGAUGGCCCUGUUGAGCUUGACUCUAGUCUGACUUUGUGAAAUGACUUGAGAGGUGUAGGAUAAGUGGAAGCCCUCUGGCGGAAGUGAAAUACCACUACUUUUAACAUUAUUUUACUUAUUCCGUGGACCGGAGGCGGGGCUCCGUCCCUCCUUUUUGCUCCAUGACACACCCCUUGCGUGUAUGUACCACAAGUGCACGGGUUGUCGAAGUAAUAAUUACCCUGAUUAGUGGGUAGUCGAAUCCACAGAGAACAGAAGUAUUAGUAAUGACUAAUUCUCAGUUAUCUAGUCGAAUCGAUAAUAUGAAGCAAUGGAUGUAAUGUGUAAAAUAAGAAAAUCAUAAGCAAGCAAGUAAAGGAAAAAGGUAAAGGAGAUCUCUAUCAAUGAAGAUGAGAUACCCGGGCAAUGCUCCCCCUAGGCUCUAUCAUGAAGUGCAAGACUAACUAAAUGCUUCCAAACCGAGUUCUAUGAGUCGAGGCAAUCCAAGAAUAAUUGGUCCCUGCCUCCAUGCCACCGAUACUAGUCCCUACAAGAUCCCGGCGGAGAAAUCGCUCAAUCU
rnacentral:rRNA from 1 species